CGGCGGACGGGUGAGUAAUGUAUGGGGACCUGCCUGAUGGCGGGGGAUAACUACUGGAAACGGUAGCUAAUACCGCAUAAUGUCUACGGACCAAAGCGGGGGACCUCCGGGCCUCGCGCCAUCAGAUGAACCCAUAUGGGAUUAGCUUGUAGGUAAGGUAACGGCUUACCUAGGCGACGAUCCCUAGCUGGUCUGAGAGGAUGAUCAGCCACACUGGGACUGAGACACGGCCCAG
rnacentral:rRNA from 1 species